GACGGAAGGUGCAAGCGUUGCUCGGAAUCACUGGGCGUAAAGGGCGCGUAGGUGGUGGCUUAAGCGUGCGGUGAAAGCUCGGGGCUCAACUCCGAGUCGGCCGUGCGAACUGGGCUCACUGGAGCAUAGUAGAGGCAGGUGGAAUUCCGGGUGUAGCGGUGGAAUGCGUAGAGAUCCGGAAGAACACCCGUGGCGAAGGCGGCUCUCUGGAACGCAACUGACGCUGAGACGCGAAAGCGUGGGGAGCAAACAGG
rnacentral:rRNA from 1 species